rnacentral:lncRNA from 1 species
AGUAGUCCCACUGCGUGGUUUGAGCUCCAGCCUCGCGCUGGGCCGCUUGAGGGAGCGGAGCGGCGGGCGCUGAGCCGGGAGCCCUCUCGGCUUUGCGGGCCUUCUCCCGAGGGGCUCCUCUGGGGGAGGCGAGAGGGCCGCUCUGAGGCGGGAGCGGAGGGAUCCGAGCAGGCGGAGUUGUAAGGCGGCGGGCGCGUGCGGGACGCGCGGCGGCUGCGCGGGCUGAGGGGACCCGGCUGAGGGGACGCGGCCGCCCCCGGGACCCCGGCCCUGCGCCAGAGCCGCCGCCGGCAGAUCUGGAGUGUGCUAACAUUGCAUUUCUGCCAGGAAAACGGGAGUGAGGAGCACUACCCAGUGCAGGAUAGUGGCACAGGGAGGUAAGAGAAGAAAUCUUGGAGUACAAACUUUGUAGUUUGUAGUUUUAGGGGUGUUGUUUCCUUACUUUUAUUUUACCCUGGGUACAGUGCUGCUCUUAUGCCCUAGUUUUCCCCAUCUUAGUGUAAAAAUAAUGUGCCUUGUUUGAAUUUUCACUUAUCCAGGACAUUGACAAAGACACCUUCUGAUACCUAAAAGAUAAAACAGCAAGACUUACUGAAGUAGGAUAUUUAAUUUAAAGCUACCAUCUCUUCAAAUAUACAAGCAUCAUGUUGGAAUAUCUCAAUAAUCACAAAUUCUGUGGGAUUUCUAGAGCAGAGGAGCAAAUCUUCAGCAUCUCCAAAAGUCCUGAAAUAUAGACAUAUUGGAAUGCAUUUUUUUUCCAGCUCUGACAUCUAGUCAGUAACUAGCAUAGGAAACCUACUAAAAUCUUUUGGAGCAGAGUGCUGGCUCCGGGUGCAUUUGCUGCAUUAUGUUGUAGCUGCUCUUGCACAUGACUCUUGCUGCUGCUGAAAUGAGAUUGAGAGAACCAAUAUUUGACUAACUCCUCACUGUUUCAAUAUGUGAGAAACAUGGCAGAAGGCAGAAUAGACUCCAACUACUCUUUGUUGAGCUUAAGAUAAGAAAUUGCUGCAAUUCAUGUAAAAUAUGGCAAGCCAGUAUAAUAAAUAAUAGGAAGAAAUUAAUCUGAAUUGUAUA